rnacentral:rRNA from 1 species
UGGGGAAUUUUGGACAAUGGGCGAAAGCCUGAUCCAGCAAUGCCGCGUGUGUGAAGAAGGCCUUCGGGUUGUAAAGCACUUUUGUCCGGAAAGAAAUCCUUGGCUCUAAUACAGUCGGGGGGAUGACGGUACCGGAAGAAUAAGCACCGGCUAACUACGUGCCAGCAGCUGCGGUAAUACGUAGGGUGCAAGCGUUAAUCGGAAUUACUGGGCGUAAAGCGUGCGCAGGCGGUUUGCUAAGACCGAUGUGAAAUCCCCGGGCUCAACCUGGGAACUGCAUUGGUGACUGGCAGGCUAGAGUAUGGCAGAGGGGGGUAGAAUUCCACGUGUAGCAGUGAAAUGCGUAGAGAUGUGGAGGAAUACCGAUGGCGAAGGCAGCCCCCCUGGGCCAAUACUGACGCUCAUGCACGAAAGCGUGGGGAGCAAACAGGAUUCAGAUACCCUGGUAGUCCACGCCCUAAACGAUGUCAACUAGUUGUUGGGGACUUCAUUUUCCUUAGUAACGUAGCUAACGCGUGAAGUUGACCGCCUGGGGAGUACGGUCGCAAGAUUAAAACUCAAAUGAAUUGACGGGGU